GUGCUGCCAUAAGUCUGUUUACAUUGGGAUCAGGGUGUGGACUGUAGUGUUGGUUCUGUCUUUAGCCUGACACUCAUUAAGACACACAAAGAGUCGGCUGAUAACACUAAGUGUUUCCUGUUUGUCCAGGCUGCAGGCUGGCUGCACGGACAAGGGCAAGAGAACAAGGAGCAACAGAGGUAAAGGGAUCCAGUUUGUUUUUUUGUUGGAGAGGAGGAGACCUCUGCGGGUAAUUCGGCUCCCAGUAGAAACCUCCUGAACACUGAAGGAAUGCUAACUAGGAGAAGCUGACUGCAGUGACGGCAAUGGUCGUGAAGACAACAACUCCCAUUAUCCCACACUACCUCACGACGUCAUCAAACUCCGUCUUUUAUUAUUGUUUCGACGUGAGAGACCCAUUGGCAGCAGAAAUAACACAUUAUAUGUUUAGUAAGUGCCAAAAAUAGAGCAAACCGUAAAUGUAGAGUUUAGUCUCCAGUGUCAUGUAGCUCAGAUGAAUUGAAGCCAUGAAACAGCUGUGUGGAGUGAAAGGAGACAGCAUAAUCCACACAUCAAUUAGACACAGAGAGACUGGAUGAUACGGGGAGGGUGUGUGUGUCUGUGCAUAUGCUGUGGAUACUGGUCUCAAGCGUGUGUGUGUGUGUGUGUGUGUGUGUGUGUGUGUGAGAAAGAAAGAGCAUGUGUGAAAGCCUUGAGUAAUCCUGCUUAGUCUAGCAGCUGGGGGAGCAGGUUUAAGUAGUGUGACAGUAUGAAGGGCUGGGUGAGGGUUUAAUACUAAAACUACUGUCAACAAUAGAAUACACACAUAAUAUUUAACAAAGAAUGUGCAAGAGUAUGUGUACAACAGCACUGCCAGGAAGUAGUGUGCUUGGGGGAUAGUACUAAGGGGCUGAGAGUAAGUAAAUUAACUAAUUUAGAGCAGCUCUGCUCAAACAGCAGGGACAGGGUCGUUAAUGUGGUCUCAAAGGGUUCAAACACACUACAAGAUUUAAUUAAGAUUUCUCAAACUAAUUACACAUGGCUGUUCUUUCUAACAUUAAGGCUGUUUCAAGGAAACCCGAAGAAAAACUAUUGUGCUUUCAGAAUGAUUUUCUACUAUAGAAUAUAAAAUCACAUAAGCCGCAACUUUAUGAUUGAGCUAAAAUGUGUGACAAAACAGCAUUAUAACAAAGUACAGUAGUGCCGCAGAGACCAACAAAUCUUGUUUUCCAGAUGUUAGAAAACAUGUUGGUUUGGUACAAACCCCAACAAAUGUCACAUCAUUAUAAUUUUUAUGUUUUUUUUCAGUGAAAAUUAAAUUUGUGAUGCAAAAAUGA